CGCACCUUGCGCUCCUUGGUAUUCCGAGGAGCAUGCUUGUUUGAGUGUCAUGGUAUUCUCAACCCUCCUGUAUUUUUUAUUAAAUGCAGUUGGGCUUGGACUUGGAGGCUUUGCAGGCUACUGGAUUUUUUAUUAAAUCCGAGUGGUCAGCUCCUCUUAAAUGCAUUAGCUUGAAUAGAACCAAGCAUGAUUCAACGUGAUAAUUGUUUACGUUGCUUCAUCUCGGUGAAUUUAAAUGUUCAAGCUUCUAAUCGUCCCUCGGGACAAUAUCUGAACAUCUGACCUCAAAUCAAGUAGGACUACCCGCUGAACUUAA
rnacentral:misc_RNA from 1 species